CCUACGGGAGGCAGCAGUAGGGAAUCUUCCACAAUGGGCGAAAGCCUGAUGGAGCAACGCCGCGUGAGUGAUGAAGGCCUUCGGGUUGUAAAACUCUGUCAUUCGGGACGAACCGGAGUCUGAGGAAAUGCAGACUCUCUGACGGUACCGGAGGAGGAAGCCCCGGCUAACUACGUGCCAGCAGCCGCGGUAAUACGUAGGGGGCAAGCGUUGUCCGGAUUCACUGGGCGUAAAGCGCGCGCAGGCGGUGAUGUAAGUCUGAGGUGAAAACCCGAAGCUCAACUUCGGGACUGCCUUGGAUACUGCGUCACUUGAGGAUAGGAGAGGCAAGGGGAAUUCCACGUGUAGCGGUGAAAUGCGUAGAGAUGUGGAGGAACACCUGUGGCGAAGGCGCCUUGCUGGCCUAUUUCUGACGCUGAGGCGCGAAAGCGUGGGGAGCAAACAGGAUUAGAUACCCUGGUAGUCCACGCUGUAAACGAUGAGUGCUAGGUGCAGGUGGGCUCAUACCCAUCUGUGCCGAAGCUAACGCAUUAAGCACUCCGCCUGGGGAGUACGGUCGCAAGACUGAACUCAAAUGAAUUGACGG
rnacentral:rRNA from 1 species